rnacentral:rRNA from 1 species
AAGUCGUAACAAGGUUUCGUCUGCCCCCGGAAGCCUUCUACGCGUCGACUUUAACCAUGCGCCGAGUCUGGAUCCUCCGAUCCGGGCGACGUCACCCCUGUGCCGGAAUCCUGCUCCCCGCGGCGAAACCAGCAGCCAGUUUCCCCUGGUCCACAGAUUAAGAGGUGGCGGUCCCAGCGACGACCGCUGAGAUCAAGAUAUAAUCGGUCUCCAUCUCUCCCGCCGGAUGGUUGAGCCACGUUCCGUAGGUGAACCUGCGGAAGGAUCAUUAUCGAGUUAGGGUCCUCUGGGCCCCAUCUCCCACUCCUGUCUACCUUAAUACGUUGUCUGACGGGCCCGUCUUUGACCGGACCGCCGGGGAUCCAGUCCCUGGCCCGCGCCCGCCGACGACCACUUUUAAACUCUUUCAACCGUGUCUAAAUCAAAACCAAAUUAUUAAAACUUUCAACAACGGAUCUCUUGGUUCCGGCAUCGAUGAAGAACGCAGCGAAAUGCGAAAAGUAAUGUGAAUUGCAGAAUUCAGUGAAUCAUCGAAUCUUUGAACGCACAUUGCGCCCCUUGGUAUUCCGGGGGGCAUGCCUGUUCGAGCGUCAUCAAAAACCCUCAAGCCUAGCUUGGUGUUGGGGCCUGCCGUCUGGCAGCCCUUAAAAUCAGUGGCGGUGCCGGUCGGCUCUGAGCGUAGUAAUUCUUCUCGCUAUAGACGUCGGGCGGCCCUUGCCAACAACCCCCAACUUUCUAAGUUUGACCUCGGAUCAGGUAGGGAUACCCGCUGAACUUAAGCAUAUCAAUAAGCGGAGGAAAAGAAACCAACAGGGAUUGCCUCAGUAACGGCGAGUGAAGCGGCACAAGCUCAAAUUUGAAAUCUGGCUCUUUCAGGGUCCGAGUUGUAAUUUGUAGAAGAUGCUUCGAGUGUGGUACCGGUCUAAGUUCCUUGGAACAGGACGUCAUAGAGGGUGAGAAUCCCGUAUGUGACCGGCUGCCUUCGCUCAUGUGAAGCUCUUUCGACGAGUCGAGUUGUUUGGGAAUGCAGCUCAAAAUGGGUGGUAAAUUUCAUCUAAAGCUAAAUAUUGGCCAGAGACCGAUAGCGCACAAGUAGAGUGAUCGAAAGAUGAAAAGCACUUUGGAAAGAGAGUUAAACAGUACGUGAAAUUGUUGAAAGGGAAGCGCUUGCAACCAGACUUGCAGUUACUUAAUCAUCCGGGGUUCUCCCCGGUGCACUUGGGUAUCUUCAGGCCAGCAUCGGUUUCGGUGGUGGGAUAAAGGCCUUGAGAAUGUAGCUCCUUUCGGGGAGUGUUAUAGCUCUCGGUGCAAUGCCGCCUAUCGGGACCGAGGACCGCGCUUCGGCUAGGAUGCUGGCGUAAUGGUUGUAAGCGACC